UACGAAGGGUGCAAGCGUUAAUCGGAAUUACUGGGCGUAAAGCGCGCGUAGGCGGCUUUGCAAGUCGAGUGUGAAAUCCCCAGGCUUAACCUGGGAACUGCAUUCGAGACUGCAUAGCUAGAGUAUGGGAGAGGGAAGUGGAAUUUCAGGUGUAGCGGUGAAAUGCGUAGAUAUCUGAAGGAACAUCAGUGGCGAAAAGCGACUUCCUGGACCAAUACUGACGCUCAUGUGCGAAAGCGUGGGGAGCAAACAGG
rnacentral:rRNA from 1 species